rnacentral:lncRNA from 1 species
CCAGUUUGAUUGAUUUUCUUUAUUUUUUUGGUCGAGUCUAAUAUGUGCAGAUCAAGUCAAACUCAUUUGAGGCUCCCACGUUGCACUGCUUGAUCCCGUAUCACAUCCGUGGAUUUGUUUUCAUCUCGGUUGAAAUCAGCCAUUCAAGAAGUCAUCCCAUCAUCCACGUCAUCCUCAUCCAUGAAUUAAUUCCCCUGCUUUCCAUCUCGUGCACACUCUUUCCUUCCGUAUCCUUCUCAUCUUCCGCUUCUUCCAUGCGUCGGGCUCAUCACAUCCUCCCAACCAAGCCAAAUCAAAUCCACGAAUUAUCUCCCUUGCUCUACAUUCGCAUGGGAUCACCUCUGUCCAACGAACAGAGACCUCGUCCGUGGAUUCCUUCCACGUCUACGAACAAAGCCACAUCUUCUCCCGCUGGAUCCCAGCUUAUCCACAGAUAAGGUCACACAUCUUUUUCUGAUUCGGAAUUAUCUCCCGGCUUCAUCCCGUUCACAUUCCAUCGUCCACAAAUCCCGAUCCAGCCGUCCCUCACCUUCUCUUCAUCAUAGAUCAAAGAACAGAUUCCUUCUUUCGGAUUUCUCCGCAUCAACAUCCCGACCUCCCAUGCUAAUCCCGAGUGUUCUUCCUGACAUCCUGCUCGGACUAACUCCACGGACAAGCUUCUCCCCUGCUUCACAUCGCAGCCAUUCCAUGUCGUUCUCUCCGUAGAUCCCAUGAUCUUCGCACCCAGUUCCAUCUCCACGGGAUAAAAACAAAUCCCACAAACUUCCCAGAAUCCCAGCAACCCAUCUCAGCCGAGAACACAUCUGCGAUUCAA